UGGGGAAUUUUGCACAAUGGGGGAAACCCUGAUGCAGCGACGCCGCGUGAUUUAGAAGGCCUUCGGGUUGAAAAAAUCUUUUCUAUGGGAAGAAAAUGACAGUACCAUAGGAAUAAGGACCGGCUAAUUACGUGCCAGCAGCCGCGGUAAUACGUAAGGUCCGAGCGUUGUCCGGAAUCAUUGGGCGUAAAGGGUACGUAGGCGGGUAAGCAAGUUAGAAGUGAAAUCCUAUAGCUCAACUAUAGUAAGCUUUUAAAACUGCUCAUCUUGAGGUAUGGAAGGGAAAGUGGAAUUCCUAGUGUAGCGGUGAAAUGCGCAGAUAUUAGGAGGAAUACCGGUGGCGAAGGCGACUUUCUGGCCAUAACCUGACGCUGAGGUACGAAAGCGUGGGUAGCAAACAGG
rnacentral:rRNA from 1 species